rnacentral:lncRNA from 1 species
GAAUACUACCCAUGACAAAAAUUCUGAUUUCAAAUCAUGCACUGAUGAUAAAUUUUUGAAUAAUUGCAACAAAAAUUUAAAUGUUAGGAUAACUGCAGAGGAAGUGCUUCUUGCUCUGAAAGCCUUGAAAAAUAAGAAAUCAUGUGGUUCUGAUGGAUUAACAAAUGAAAUGUUGAAAAUAUCUUGUACUAUGAAUGUCAACAUGUAUGUAAAAUUAUUUAACUUAAUUCUUUUUACUGGCAUAUAUCCUUCUAAAUGGAGAGAAAAUUGCAUUAAACCAGUAUUCAAAGGAGGGUGUUUUAAUAACCCCUCAAACUACAGAGGUAUAGCACUUUCUAGCUGCUUAGGAAAAUUUUUCUCAAGAGUUUUAUAUAACCGUUUAGAAAAGUAUUCAGAAAAUAAUAAUAUUAUCUGUCGUGAACAGAUUGGAUUCAAAAAAGGAUGCAGAACUAGUGAUCACAUUCUUACUUUAAAAACUAUUAUUGAUAAGGC